CAGCCUGCAGGUCUAGAGACAUCCAUCCCUCCAGCUCCCUCCAGUGAAACACAGCCUGCAGAAACUACACCACUAAUGUCCAGUGAAUCUCCUGCACCAACCGGGGACCAACAAGAACACACUUCAAGAACAAGUACCCCUGAUGUAACUAUGGAUGGUCAUGAUGAUGACCAGAGUCUGGAUGCCCUCGCCUACCGGUCUGGUACUGGACAGCUAGACAUUGAGAUGGGUCCAGUCCAAAAGCUGCCCAAAGAACGUAACAGGAUUCUUUAAUAUCGCUAUUAGACCCAUGUUUCCCAUCGACCGUGAUUCACUAUUGAAGGGGAAUGACAUUACAGGAGACAAAGUAACGCAGUUCGAGAAAUUCUGGAUCAACAUGAAAGUGAAUCUGAUGGUUCAAACUCAGAAACUAGGAGAGGAAAUACACCAGUCUGAUUCCUCCCUGAUGCCAGCUUUCACAGGAGAAGAAGCGUGGUGUGUCUAACAUCAUUAUUUGAUCAAUCCUCACAUUAUUCUUCUAUAUGUGGCUCACAGAGCAAAGACAAGCGAGGUGUUAAUAGAUAGUGUGAGGUGUGCUCUGUGAGGCGUCCUGGGAUAUGAUGGGUAACGUUGGCUUGGGUCCAAGCUCCACCUCUCUUGGGCGACCGCC